UCUUGGUCAUUUAGAGGAAGUAAAAGUCGUAACAAGGUUUCCGUAGGUGAACCUGCGGAAGGAUCAUUACCUAGAGUCAGUGGGCUUUGCCUGCUAUCUCUUACCCAUGUUUUAUGAGCACUUACGUUUCCUCGGUGGGUUCGCCCACCGAUUGGACCACUUAAACCCUUUGCAGUUUUGUAAUCAGCGUCUGAAAAACUUAAUAGUUACAACUUUCAACAACGGAUCUCUUGGUUCUGGCAUCGAUGAAGAACGCAGCGAAAUGCGAUAAGUAGUGUGAAUUGCAGAAUUCAGUGAAUCAUCGAAUCUUUGAACGCACAUUGCGCCCCUUGGUAUUCCAUGGGGCAUGCCUGUUCGAGCGUCAUUUGUACCUUCAAGCUCUGCUUGGUGUUGGGUGUUUGUCUCGCCUCUGCGUGUAGACUCGCCUUAAAACAAUUGGCAGCCGGCGUAUUGAUUUCGGAGCGCAGUACAUCUCGCGCUUUGCACUCAUAACGACGACGUCCAAAAGUACAUUUUUACACUCUUGACCUCGGAUCAGGUAGGGAUACCCGCUGAACUUAAGCAUAUCAAUAAGCGGAGGAGUCAUA
rnacentral:rRNA from 1 species